rnacentral:rRNA from 1 species
UACGUAGGGUGCAAGCGUUGUCCGGAAUUAUUGGGCGUAAAGAGCUCGUAGGCGGUUUGUUGCGUCGGCUGUGAAAUCCCGAGGCUCAACCUCGGGUCUGCAGUCGAUACGAGCAAACUAGAGUGUUGCAGGGGAGACUGGAAUUCCUGGUGUAGCGGUGAAAUGCGCAGAUAUCAGGAGGAACACCGGUGGCGAAGGCGGGUCUCUGGGCAACAACUGACACUGAGGGACGAAAGCUAGGGGAGCGAAAGGG